UCAGGCCUAACACAUGCAAGUCGUACGAGAGUUUUUAACUCUAGUGGCGGACGGGUGAGUAACACGUGAGAAUUUGCCUUUAGGAGGGGGACAACAAUUGGAAACGAAUGCUAAUACCCCAUAUGCUUUAGAGUGAAAUGGAUUUUAUCCGCCUAGAGAGAAGCUCGCGGCUGAUUAGCUUGUUGGUAAGGUAAGAGCUUACCAAGGCGACGAUCAGUAUCUGGUUUGAGAGGAGGAUCAGACACACUGGAACUGAGACACGGUCCAGACUCCUACGGGAGGCAGCAGUGGGGAAUUUUCCGCAAAGGGCGAAAGCCUGACGGAGCAA
rnacentral:rRNA from 1 species